AGUGAACGCUGGCGGUAGGCCUAACACAUGCAAGUCGAACGGCAGCACAGUAAGAGCUUGCUCUUACGGGUGGCGAGUGGCGGACGGGUGAGGAAUACAUCGGAAUCUACUUUUUCGUGGGGGAUAACGUAGGGAAACUUACGCUAAUACCGCAUACGACCUACGGGUGAAAGCAGGGGAUCUUCGGACCUUGCGCGAUUGAAUGAGCCGAUGUCGGCUUAGCUAGUUGGCGGGGUAAAGGCCCACCAAGGCGACGCUCCGUAGCUGGUCUGAGAGGAUGAUCAGCCACACUGGAACUGAGACACGGUCCAGACUCCUACGGGAGGCAGCAGUGGGGGAUAUUGGACAAUGGGCGCAAGCCUGAUCCAGCCAUACCGCGUGAGUGAAGAAGGCCUUCGGGUUGUAAAGCCCUUUUGUUGGGAAAGAAAAGCAGCAGGUUAAUACCCCGCUGUUCUGACGGUACCCAAAGAAUAAGCACCGGCUAACUUCGUG
rnacentral:rRNA from 1 species